UGACACAGUUUCAUUUGUGGUGGUGGUGGUGGUGAUGAUGAUGAUGAUGAUGAUGAUGAUGAUGAUGAUGAUGAUGAUGUGCAAGAGAUCUCUGUUGAGCCAACCUCAUUCUCUGCAGCAAGAUCAUGGUGGAUGUCUGCAGUUGUCAGGGAGUGCCUAUGUGCACUUGAUGAUGAAUCACAGUUGAAUAUGUGGACCCCUUUCUCCAACAUUAGUUUGUGGGGCUUGAUGCCGGUCAUUGAGGGGAGGGAAUGUAUGCACUUGAUGAGCAGGCUGAGCUAUACCAAUUUCUGCUUGAGAUAGUGACCAGUAAGGUCCCAUAGACUGUUAGAGGAAGCUUAUUUCGAAGGUAUAUUGUCACCACUAAGUCAAAAUAUGACUAGUGGUGGUGAGGUCAAGAGUCAGCUAGAGUUGUAGUCAUGUGAUUGGCUAUUGGCAAUACUUGCCAACUUAUUGGAGGCAUUCGUGACGU